rnacentral:rRNA from 1 species
UCGGGAAUUUUGGGCAAUGGGCGAAAGCCUGACCCAGCAACGCCGCGUGAAGGAUGAAGUAUUUCGGUAUGUAAACUUCGAAAGAAUAGGAAGAAUAAAUGACGGUACUAUUUAUAAGGUCCGGCUAACUACGUGCCAGCAGCCGCGGUAAUACGUAGGGACCAAGCGUUGUUCGGAUUUACUGGGCGUAAAGGGCGCGUAGGCGGCUUUGUAAGUCACUUGUGAAAUCUCCGGGCUUAACUCGGAACGGCCAAGUGAUACUGCAAAGCUAGAGUGCAGAAGGGGCAAUCGGAAUUCUUGGUGUAGCGGUGAAAUGCGUAGAUAUCAAGAGGAACACCUGAGGUGAAGACGGGUUGCUGGGCUGACACUGACGCUGAGGCGCGAAAGCCAGGGGAGCAAACGGGAUUAGAUACCCACGUAGUCCCUGAGCGGGCUGGCAAGGCGCAU